GUGUAUUGGACUACCAUGGCAGUCACGGGUAACGGGGAAUUAGGGUUCGAUUCCGGAGAGGGAGCCUGAGAAACGGCUACCACUUCUAAGGAAGGCAGCAGGCGCGUAAAUUACCCAAUCCCAAUUCGGGGAGGUAGUGACAAGAAAUAACAACCUGGGGGGCUCUGCCCUUACGGGAUUGUAAUGGGAACAAUGUAAAAACUUUAUCGAGGAACAAUUGGAGGGCAAGUCUGGUGCCAGCAGUCGCGGUAAUUCCAGCUCCAAUAGCGUAUAUUAAAGUUGUUGCAGUUAAAAAGCUCGUAGUUGAAUUUCUGCACGUGCCCGGUUGUGGCUUCGGUCAGGCCGUGGCGCGUGCAUCCGUCUGCAAACCUAGACCGGCCUUCAUUGGUCGACUAGGGGAGUAGACCUUUUACCUUGAAAAAAUUAGAGUGUUUCUAGCAGGCAAUUGCUUGAAUACAUUAGCAUGGAAUAAUAGAAUAGGACUUUUGUCCAUUUCGUUGGUUAUUGGACAUUAGUAAUGAUUAAAAGGGACAGUUGGGGGCAUUAGUAUUUAAUUGUCAGAGGUGAAAUUCUUGGAUUUAUUAAAGACUAACUUAUGCGAAAGCAUUUGCCAAGGAUGUUUUCA
rnacentral:rRNA from 1 species